rnacentral:rRNA from 1 species
GACGAACGCUGGCGGCGUGCUUAACACAUGCAAGUCGAACGGUAAAGCCUAUCUUGCUCUGUUGAUCUGUGGCGCACGGGUGUGUAACGCGUGAGUUACCUGCCCUUGACUCUGGUAUAAGCGUUGGACACGACCUCUAAUCCCGGAUGCGAGCUCAUACCUCUUUGUCGUCGGUUGUUAAGAUUUUUUGGUCAAGGUUGGACUCGCGGCCUAUCAGCUUGUUGGUGAGGUACUGGCUCACCAAGGCGACGACGGGUAGCCGGCCUGUGAGGGUGACCGGCAAAACUGGGACUGAGAAACGGCCAAAACUCCUACGGGAGGAAGAAGUGGGGAAUAUUGAACAAGGGGCGAAAGCCGGAUGCAGGAACGCCGCGGGAGGGAUGACGGCCUUCGGGUUGUAAACCUCUUUUAGAAGGGAAGAAGCGAAAGUGACGGUACCUGCAGAAAAAGCACCGGCUAACUACGUG